GGUACUAUGGCCGAGUGGUCUAAGGCGCUGGAAUUAGGUGAAAACCUUACCAAUCCAGUCCGCAAGGGCGUGGGUUCGAACCCCACUGGUAUCA